rnacentral:rRNA from 1 species
UAGCGUAAUCACUUGUCCUCCAAAUAGGGACUAGUAUGAACGGCCAUAUGAGGGCCCAACUGUCUUCUCUGACUAGUCAAUGAACCUGAUCUCUCAGUACAAAAGCUGAAAUAGACCCAUAAGACGAGAAGACCCUGUGGAGCUUAAGCUCCCGCACUAAAUUAACACAGCUAGUGCCCCCCUUUAGUUGGGGCGACUACGGAACAAAACAAAACUUCCACGCCUUAGACCCACAUCUACGCAACGGCACACACGCCAAUGCACCCACUACAUGACCCAGUUCCACUGAUCAACGAACCAAGUUACCCCAGGGAUAACAGCGCCAUCCUCUUCAAGAGCCCCUAUCGCCAAGAGGGUUUACGACCUCGAUGUUGGAUCAGGACCCCCCGGUGGUGCAGCCGCUACCAAAGGUUCGUUUGUUCAACGAUUAA